GACGAACGCUGGCGGCGUGCUUAACACAUGCAAGUCGAACGAUGAACCCGGAGCUUGCUCCGGUGGAUUAGUGGCGAACGGGUGAGUAACACGUGAGUAACCUGCCCUUGACUCUGGGAUAACUGCGGGAAACUGUAGCUAAUACCGGAUACGACCCUCGGCGGCAUCGCCAGGGGGUGGAAAGAAUUUCGGUCAAGGAUGGACUCGCGGCCUAUCAGCUAGUUGGUGAGGUAACGGCUCACCGAGGCGACGACGGGUAGCUGGCCUGAGAGGGUGACCGGCCACACUGGGACUGAGACACGGCCCAGACUCCUACGGGAGGCAGCAGUGGGGAAUAUUGCACAAUGGGCGCAAGCCUGAUGCAGCAACGCCGCGUGAGGGAUGAAGGUCUUCGGAUUGUAAACCUCUUUCAGUAGGGACGAAGCGAAAGUGACGGUACCUAAAGAAGAAGCACCGGCUAACUACGUGCCAGCCGCCGCCGUAA
rnacentral:rRNA from 1 species